AUCAGAGAACACAUAAACUCCCCUCGAUGCGUCUGAUUGCUGCUUGAGAGCAGCUUGCUCAUUCAUAUACUCAUCAUAAGCCUCUGCCCAACCAUCAGCAGAGGUUUCACCAAACGCACCUUCAGCAACUUGACGCCCAAAUUCAUCUGCCCAAUCAUCAUUCACAUUCAACUUUGAAAAUUCACUUACCCACUCAUCAUUUACAGAUCCAUGCUGUGCACGUUCAGCAGAAAACUCAUUCACCCACCCUUGUGGUCCACGAGAAAGCUCCUCAUGUGCAAACUGAUCAGCCCAUGAUUGACCUCCAUUAUGCUUCUGUUCAUAUUCUGCUGCCCAAUCCCCAGAAGAAACUGUAGCAGGCUUGAAUUGAUUUUCUUCAAUAGAAAUUUCACCACGACUCAUCUUGGAUACAAAUUGGAGAAACUUGGAAUUCUGAAAUUUUGGGUCACUGUUUUGAGCUAAAGUAUGGGCCAACAUGCGUGUUUGUUCCAUUGCUGCUAGAUUAGGAAUAUUUGCACCUCUCAUUUGACCAAUCAUUCCAAGUUGGGAUUGCUCAUGCUCAAAUUCAGAUGCCCAGCCAUUAGCACCAUGUUGUUGUUCAAAUGAUUGGGCCCAAGCAUUGGGGUCAGCAUGUCCUACUCGGUUCUGUGCAAAUUCAUUAAUCCAUCCAUCUGCAACAUGAGGCACAGGUUUCAUAGCUAAUGACUCAUUCCAAUACUCCUCAAGCUCGGGAUAUCUUCCAGGCAGAGGGCCCCUUGCCCUAACAUGAUUAUCAAUUUCUAAUGAAGACAAUAGAGCAUUAACCUGUCCAUUUAUGAAGUCUUCAGUUUUAUCAGCAAAAAAAUGUCGGGCCAUGAUCGUGCUACGGUCCCGUAUGCAUUGCUUGUCACCUUCCGAUAAACCUAAUAAUGGUAGUGAAGCAGGACGAAACGGAACACCACCAUGACCGCUGUUGACAAACGAGUGCAGAAAGCUAGACAAUACUUGUUGUGGAGGCCCAUUCAAAUCGGGUUGAAGCCGAGCAUGCUCCAAAGGGAUGUUUGUCAUGUUCUGACUUCCAUGAGGAAAAGGAAGUUGAGGCCUUUGUAUCUCAUCCCAAGCAUCAGCAAGCUUAUUUUGAUCAGCAGAACGAUACCCUUGAAGGAAUUGGGAACCCUGAAUAUUAGGCUGAAGUGGAUGUUCAAACUCUGAUCCUGGAAGCGAGACAAAUGGCUCUUCAACACCCGCAAGGAAGUUGCCAUUGGACGAUGUACUUACUGAUGUAGGGAUCUCUUUUAGCCUCUCCUGAGUCUUAGAUGAUGAACCGAUGAGUGCGUUAGCGAGAGCACCAAGUGGAUUAGAAGAAGAAGAAGGUUCGCCACAACUAGGAGCACCGGUGACCAAGUCUCUCAUCGCCAUGACUUUGUUCGAGUUUUCUUCCCUCUUUUGUCAGUAUUAUAUGAUAUUAUACGAAUUGUAGUCGAUUGAAGGGAGGAGAGAUGGUGCCGGCGGUUAAGAAGACGACGGUCGACGGAGGAGACGGUGAGGUGUAAAACUUGUUGUGUAGUGAUUGUGUGGGAAUAUAGGGAAGGGAGUCGUGAUUAUUUAAAUGUUUUA
rnacentral:misc_RNA from 1 species